rnacentral:rRNA from 1 species
AAAGAACCCCGGCGAGGGGAGUGAAAAAGAACCUGAAACCGUGUACGUACAAGCAGUGGGAGCCUCUUAAUGGGGUGACUGCGUACCUUUUGUAUAAUGGGUCAGCGACUUAUAUUCUGUAGCAAGGUUAACCGAAUAGGGGAGCCGAAGGGAAACCGAGUCUUAACUGGGCGUUAAGUUGCAGGGUAUAGACCCGAAACCCGGUGAUCUAGCCAUGGGCAGGUUGAAGGUUGGGUAACACUAACUGGAGGACCGAACCGACUAAUGUUGAAAAAUUAGCGGAUGACUUGUGGCUGGGGGUGAAAGGCCAAUCAAACCGGGAGAUAGCUGGUUCUCCCCGAAAGCUAUUUAGGUAGCGCCUCGUGAAUUCAUCUCCGGGGGUAGAGCACUGUUUCGGCAAGGGGGUCAUCCCGACUUACCAACCCGAUGCAAACUGCGAAUACCGGAGAAUGUUAUCACGGGAGACACACGGCGGGUGCUAACGUCCGUCGUGAAGAGGGAAACAACCCAGACCGCCAGCUAAGGUCCCAAAGUCAUGGUUAAGUGGGAAACGAUGUGGGAAGGCCCAGACAGCCAGGAUGUUGGCUUAGAAGCAGCCAUCAUUUAAAGAAAGCGUAAUAGCUCACUGGUCGAGUCGGCCUGCGCGGAAGAUGUAACGGGGCUAAACCAUGCACCGAAGCUGCGGCAGCGACACUAUGUGUUGUUGGGUAGGGGAGCGUUCUGUAAGCCUGUGAAGGUGGCCUGUGAGGGUUGCUGGAGGUAUCAGAAGUGCGAAUGCUGACAUAAGUAACGAUAAAGCGGGUGAAAAGCCCGCUCGCCGGAAGACCAAGGGUUCCUGUCCAACGUUAAUCGGGGCAGGGUGAGUCGACCCCUAAGGCGAGGCCGAAAGGCGUAGUCGAUGGGAAACAGGUUAAUAUUCCUGUACUUGGUGUUACUGCGAAGGGGGGACGGAGAAGGCUAUGUUGGCCGGGCGACGGUUGUCCCGGUU